UCGGUUGAUCCUGCGGACCCUACUGCUAUCGGGAUGGGACUAAGACAUGCUAGUCGUGCGUCUCCAAGCCACGGCGGAGACGCGGCACACAGCUCAGUAACACGUGGCCAACCUACCCUUAGGACGGAAACAUCCCCGGGAAACUGGGGUCAAUUUCCGAUAGGUGAAGACUCCUGGAAUGGAUUUUCGUCAAAAAGACGUUUAGACCAUGCUUCUAGGCGUUGCCUAAGGAUGGGGCCGCGGCCGAUCAGGCUGUUGGUGAGGUAAUGGCUCACCAAACCUUUAACCGGUACGGGCCGUGAGAGCGGGAGCCCGGAGAUGGGCACUGAGACAAGGGCCCAGGUCCUACGGGGCGCAGCAGUUACGAAAAUUUCGCAAUACGCGAAAGCGUGACGGAGCCAUCCCGAGUGCCAUCCGCUGAGGAUGGCUUUUCCCCAGUGUAGAUAGCUGGGGGAAUAAGGAGAGGGCAAGUCUGGUGUCAGCCGCCGCGGUAAUACCAGCUCUUCGAGUGGUAGGGAUGUUUAUUGGGCCUGAAGCAUCCGUAGCCGGCUGGGAAAGUUUCCCGUUAAAUCCAGCGAUUCAAUCGUUGGAUUGCGGGGAAUACUUCUCGGCUAGGGGGUGAGAGAAACCAACGGUAUUCUCGGGGUAGGGGUGAAAUCCUAUAAUCCCGGGAGGACCACCAGUGGCGAAGGCUGUUGNCUAGAACAUGCCCGACGGUGAGGGAUGAAAGCUGGGGGAGCGAACCGGAUUAGAUACCCGGGUAGUCCCAGCUGUAAACGAUGCAGNNUAGGUGUUAGAGCGGCACGUGCCGCCCUAGUGCCGCAGGGANGCUGUUAAGCCUGNCGCCUGGGGAGUAC
rnacentral:rRNA from 1 species